AGUACUCCCCUGCCUUUCAUGACACAGCUGGCAUUUCCUAGAGCCCAGGUGGAGACGCUGCUGGGUGCUCCACACAGGGCGAUUCUGACCCAGUGAGUGUGCCUGCUUGCUGCCAGAACCACUCGCAAAGAGACCGGGCAGGGUUAAGGGCUGACGGGCUAAGUGGGCAGCAGGAACAGGCCCUUCUCAUUCCAGGAACGCCAGGGACUCUGAAGGUGCUUCAGCCCCUCUGCGUAGCUAGGAGUCACUGCAAAGUUGCUAUCAGAAUGUGCUAUUGCAGGCGAAGCAACAUAGAAGAGGCCGGAAGAUUUAAAAUAAGUUCAUCUUCCUGCUUGCAGUGCACAAAGGGGCGUAUAUUUGGAAGAGUUUUGCUGUCAAGCCAGUGAAGAAAGAAAAGCGAAAGAGAGGAAUUUGAAGUCUAAGCAAAACAUCCUUCCUUCGGAGGUCAAAGAGCCGAGUCAGACCUACAGUAUGCUAGAAGUCAACAACUCCUCAGUGGCACCUACUGACCUCCAUAGUUGAAAGGACAUUUCAUUUUUCAUUUUGAAAAAACAAAAUUAAAAAUUUACAUGCAACAUCGUUGGAAAUCGCACAGUGGUGAUUCUCGCCCCAAUGGUGGCUGGCCCAUUGUAUGUUGCUCCCAUCCAUCCAUCCAUCCAUCCAUCCAUCCAUCCAUCCAUCCAUCCCCCGUGGCAGCCUGGGUUGCCCGCCCACCUUCAGGUCUUCAGAUACAGUAAUACCUCGGUUCACGAACGCUUCUGUUCACGACCAAUUCGGGUCACGAACAGCACCGUUCGCAAAAUUUUG